UGCUAUACAUGCAGUCGAGCGGACCGACGGGAGCUUGCUCCCUUAGGUCAGCGGCGGACGGGUGAGUAACACGUGGGUAACCUGCCUGUAAGACUGGGAUAACUCCGGGAAACCGGGGCUAAUACCGGAUGCUUGAUUGAACCGCAUGGUUCAAUCAUAAAAGGUGGCUUUUAGCUACCACUUACAGAUGGACCCGCGGCGCAUUAGCUAGUUGGUGAGGUAACGGCUCACCAAGGCGACGAUGCGUAGCCAACCUGAGAGGGUGAUCGGCCACACUGGGACUGAGACACGGCCCAGACUCCUACGGGAGGCAGCAGUAGGGAAUCUUCCGCAAUGGACGAAAGUCUGACGGAGCAACGCCGCGUGAGUGAUGAAGGUUUUCGGAUCGUAAAACUCUGUUGUUAGGGAAGAACAAGUACCGUUCGAAUAGGGCGGUACCUUGACGGUACCUAACCAGAAAGCCACGGCUAACUACGUGCCAGCAGCCGCGGUAAUACGUAGGUGGCAAGCGUUGUCCGGAAUUAUUGGGCGUAAAGCGCGCGCAGGCGGUUUCUUAAGUCUGAUGUGAAAGCCCCCGGCUCAACCGGGGAGGGUCAUUGGAAACUGGGGAACUUGAGUGCAGAAGAGGAGAGUGGAAUUCCACGUGUAGCGGUGAAAUGCGUAGAGAUGUGGAGGAACACCAGUGGCGAAGGCGACUCUCUGGUCUGUAACUGACGCUGAGGCGCGAAAGCGUGGGGAGCGAACAGGAUUAGAUACCCUGGUAGUCCACGCCGUAAACGAUGAGUGCUAAGUGUUAGAGGGUUUCCGCCCUUUAGUGCUGCAGCAAACGCAUUAAGCACUCCGCCUGGGGAGUACGGUCGCAAGACUGAAACUCAAAGGAAUUGACGGGGGCCCGCACAAGCGGUGGAGCAUGUGGUUUAAUUCGAAGCAACGCGAAGAACCUUACCAGGUCUUGACAUCCUCUGACAACCCUAGAGAUAGGGCUUCCCCUUCGGGGGCAGAGUGACAGGUGGUGCAUGGUUGUCGUCACCUCUUGUCGUGAGAUGUUGGGUUAAGUCCCCCAACAAGCGCAACCCUUGAUCUUAUUUGCCAGCAUUCAGUUGGGCACUCUAAGGGGACUGCCGGUGACAACCGGAGGAAGGGGGGAUGACGUCAAAUCAUCAGCCCUUAUGACCUGGCUACCAACGUGGUACAAUGGGC
rnacentral:rRNA from 1 species